UUGUCCGGAUUCAUUGGGCGUAAAGAGCUCGUAGGCGGCCACUCAAGUCGAAUGUGAAACCUCGAGGCUUAACCUCGAGCCUGCAUUCGAUACUGGGCGGCUAGAGUCUGGUAGGGGGAUCUGGAAUUCCUGGUGUAGCGGUGGAAUGCGCAGAUAUCAGGAGGAACACCGGUAGCGAAGGCGGGAUCCGGGGCCAGUACUGACGCUGAGGACCGAAAGCGUGGGGAGCAAACAGG
rnacentral:rRNA from 1 species